AUCUUAGUGCAUGGGUAUUACGCAUAUCAGUGAGGAUUCGUCCGAGAUUGCGUUUUUGCUAGUUGAAAACUAUAACCAUGACCGCUCUCACUUUGCUUCGGCGGGGUGAGGAAUUUUUGGAACCAAACUUCUAUG
rfam:Blumeria graminis f. sp. hordei DH14, WGS project CATH01000000 data, contig: 007477